GAUGAACGCUGGCGGCGUGCUUAACACAUGCAAGUCGAACGGAAAGGCUCCUGCUUGCAGGGGUACUCGAGUGGCGAACGGGUGAGUAACACGUGGGUGAUCUGCCCUGCACUUCGGGAUAAGCCUGGGAAACUGGGUCUAAUACCGGUUAGGACCACAUUUUGGAUGGUGUGGUGGAAAGUUUUUCGGUGUGGGAUGAGCUCGCGGCCUAUCAGCUUGUUGGUGGGGUAAUGGCCUACCAAGGCGUCGACGGGUAGCCGGCCUGAGAGGGUGUACGGCCACAUUGGGACUGAGAUACGGCCCAGACUCCUACGGGAGGCAGCAGUGGGGAAUAUUGCACAAUGGGCGCAAGCCUGAUGCAGCGACGCCGCGUGGGAGAUGACGGCCUUCGGGUUGUAAACUCCUUUCGCUAGGGACGAAGCGCAAGUGACGGUACCUUGAGAAGAAGCACCGGCUAACUACGUG
rnacentral:rRNA from 1 species